ensembl:lncRNA
GGUGUCCCCGUUCAUUGCAGGGACUCAGACCAGAUGGCUUUUGAAGCUUUCACUUUUAGCCCACCACAGUCCCACAGCCACGUACACGGAGGUCUAUAACUUCAAGAAAUGGACAAAUUACAUAUUUCGGUGCCAGAACCGCUGUCUUGAAAUCAGCGACACGCGGCUGCACUACUACUGGGAUAGGGAUGACAUCGGCAUUGUUAUCCGGGGCAGCAUCAAUCUCCGCGACGCCACUGCGCGGAUUAUCAACCCGAAGACACUGCAUCCAACCACAGCCUGACGCACAGCCUCAGGUCAGACAGCGAGAAGGACCUGAGUCUCUUUCUCCACUUCGGGACAUGAAUGUCUGCAUCCCUGACCAACAGAGGUGCAUCCUGAGCUCUGCAACGCGGUGCUUUUCUUCCUGAGCAAACCACCAUUUCACUGCGUUGCAUUUUUGUUCAUCUCAUUGGGUUGCGGCGAUUCCUGAAGAAAGGAAUUGCAGCUCAAUUGCAGCUGAAGAAAUACCAAACCACGUGAACCUGCUGUUGUACCCUUGAAGGAAAUCCUCACCCAUGACGUGCUGUUUAUUUGCAACACAGCAGUGAGAGGGCACGGGGUGUGCUGGAAAAGUUGGGAUCUCAGCUGCUGAAAAAUGUCCUCACCUCUGAAAAUAUCACCUUAUUUGCAAUUGACGGCACCAACACUGCCUGUGGGGGAGCUGUAGGAAUUACUGGGAAGUAGAUACGAGUAUUGCCUUUCAGUCACACACUGCAAAAAAAAAUGGUGCAAAAUAAUAAUAAAAGAGAAGCUGCCAUCUGGUUUUGAUCGCUCUGUGAUGUCUUUCUUUAUUACUAUUUCUGGGGGGCGUUUCUGUGCGUCCCCCCGUGAGUCCCUUCCGACCCACAGCAUCCUAUGGCGCUGUGACUGAGGCCAUCGUGUCAUCUGAAUUUCUUUGCUUUCCAAGCUUUUCAGGCAUCCGGGAUUUAAUUUCACAGAUUUACGUUCGUAUUUCGAGAUUUAACAUUUUAAAAUGUCAGCAGACUGAUCUCUAGACCCUGUCUUUGAGAGGCUAUAAAACAGAUCCUCCUCGUUAGACGCUCUUGCUUUCUGUGCCCCGAGGUGCUCGCUCAUCAUUCUGCUGUUCAUAGAAUCACAGAGUCACCAAAGUUGGAGAAGACCACCGAGUUCAUCCAGUCCAGCUGUCCACCAUCCAGUCCAAACCGUCCUUUUCAUGGAGGAUGAUGGAGUCCCACUUUGCAGGGAAUUUCUUACAUGGGUUCUUAUCUCACCGGGAUGGCGCUCCGUGGGAGCAUCCCUGGCGGAGCAGAGCUGACCUCACCGGCACAGUUCUGUGAAUGAGCUGAAAAAUAACAUUGCCUUGAACUGUGAGUGAACUGUCAGUAGGAAACGUUGAAAGGAAUGGGACGACGUCCGUCCUCACUAUUGGCAGUGCUGUGGAAAUGUAGAUCCAAAGGAAAACCAUGUUCUGUACAGGGGAUUUUUACCCCUCCAAGAGAGAGCACUUCUCCUCCAUGUGACUGCUGUGUGUUUCCACGGGAUUCUGAAAGAAACAGUGAUUUUUGGAGCAAAUGUUUUACUUUGACACUCUCCUUACCCAACAAGAAACACCACCGUCAAAGAGCUCAUGACUUACUGAC